UACGUAGGGUGCGAGCGUUAAUCGGAAUUACUGGGCGUAAAGCGCGCGUAGGCGGCUUUGUAAGUUAGAGGUGAAAGCCCGGAGCUCAACUCCGGAACUGCCUUUAAAACUGCAUCGCUUGAAUCCAGGAGAGGUGAGUGGAAUUCCGAGUGUAGAGGUGAAAUUCGUAGAUAUUCGGAAGAACACCAGUGGCGAAGGCGGCUCACUGGACUGGUAUUGACGCUGAGGUGCGAAAGCGUGGGGAGCAAACAGG
rnacentral:rRNA from 1 species